UUUUGGCUCUUCUUUUUAAGUCGUUAGAGAACUUAGCUGGCAUUUCAUAGUGCCUAUGCUACUGACAUAGUAUAAUAGUUUAUAACUAUGCUACUGGAUUGUCAUCCUUCUGUCCAUGAGGCUGGAUCUGGAGGGCAAUUCAUGGUGGGUUAAUCCUCCAUUGCACUAGCAUUUGCAUGUGCGUCCUGAUCAGUAGUUCAUGGUGUUUUAAGGUGACUGGUUUGGAAACACGUUGGAUCACUUCAUUGUUAAUCAGACUGGUGGCAUGCUGUCUAAUGAAAGCUGUGCUUUCUAUAUAUUAAAGGUGCCAUUAUGCAUUUGCAAUAGUUUUUCUUUUAAACAUGUGAUGACUAACUAGGAUUACAAUGACAGGGUUGGGUGAAGGAGGUACCUGGUAGUUAAGCUCCGGUUUUUCACUAUGAUUUUGGUGAAUUUGGUGAAGUGGCAGUACCAAUUGAGACCGCAGGGAGAUGAAAAAUGUUGUGUUCAUCCUAAUUCUGCAGGCACCAGAGGUGCUCUUGUAUCAGGAGUUGAUGGUCGAAUUGGGACGUUAUUAACGCGGGGCUAGCAUGUUCGACGUCUUCUACUGUUGGAUCAUGAUAUAUUGGCGUGGAAUUUUCGGAAUUGGUUGGUUAAAUCCAUUGGAUCAUUCAGUUUAGUUGCCAUUCUUCGUUCUACCUACUUUAAAGUAAUGGAUGGUGGUUUUGUAUUGUUGGGUUGCAACACCUUUGCCUAAGAUUUCCGCCUGACUUGUGUCUUGAUCCCUGGUAAAAUUUGCAGUUCGUUGCAGUGGGUUUGCCAUUGAGAGAUGGUUUUGUGUCAUCGAUUAUUUCUAUUUGGGACAAUAUUGGCGCGGCGAUAACAUAUUCGAUGUCUUCUACUAUGGGAUUAUGGGUGCUUUUGGUGUGGCCGGUUUCCUAGCUGGAAUCUUUUCUUCGCUGGUUCAACCGUUAGAUAGUGUAAUGGUUGGCAAAUCUUAAUGGAUGAUCCUGUUUUGUGGCUCUUCUGUGCUCUACAGAUAUCCGCUCAGAUUUGGUUUGGAUACAAGGUAAAAAUUGCAGUUCGUUGCUGUAGUUUUGUGGCUGUGAGGUGGUUUGUUUCGGCAAUUAUGGUUGAUUUAUUGGAAAUCGGUGUUGUGUUAUGUUCAACGUCUUUUACUAUGGGAUUAUGGUAAUGGAUCUUCAAUGCGGUAGUGUAUAUUAUCCGUAAUGAUGAAAAUGAGUUACCGUUUGAAGAUCGUGAAACUAUUAUUUUGGCUGUAAAUUACUGACAUCUAGAAUCUUAACUUAAUCUCUUAAUAUGAGAUUGACUUAGUUAACCAACUGACUUGGAUGUUUUCAGGGGGCUCUUGCUAUGGCCGUUUUUCCAGCUGGAAUUUCUUCUUCGAUUCUUCGCUGGCGCUAUUGUUCAUACGGCUAUACUUGAGAUUGGUUAGUGAAACCCAAUGGAUGAUCCAGUUUUAUGGCAGUUCUGCGGUCUACAAGUGAGAUAGUAAAUUAAUUAUGGCUUAAUUGUUGUAGUGUUUGAGACAUAGGGUUUUCUGUGAGCUUUCCUAGUGCUAGAGGAUUUUAUACAUUAAAGGGGCUUUUUAUGCUUGUUUCCAUAAUGGGUAUGGUUUUCUAUCAACUAAGUUGGGUCUAUUUUCUUGUACAUAGUUUUCCGUCGUAUAUAAGUAGUGUAAACAGUAUUUUCAUUCUUUAUGUAAAACGUACGUUUAGGUAUAACCUGUUGUAGUACUUUUUGCUUGCGCAAUUUUCUCCCUCCUAUUGAUCACGUUGUUUGCAGGUGUGUUGUGUGUAUCUGCAAUAUUUGAUAUUCCUUGAAAAUGGCAAAUUUUGUGACAAUCGAGUCUGGUUUCAAAUAAAUAAAACAUUCAUAUGGAAAA